rnacentral:lncRNA from 1 species
GGCUAUGCAGCUGCUUGGUUUUGAUCUUCUACUGGCAGCCAAAAUUGUAAGAGGAAAGUGCAGGCUUAAGGGGUAAGCAGUGACAGCCCAUCAGUGGUCUAACAACAAGACAAAUGACAGGCCCACAGGCACACCGAGGACGGCCAGCCCAUCAGCUUUGAAGACUGCCAAAUGGCAGCUACAGAGAUGGAAGGUCAUUCAGACUUGAACGUUUGGGUCUUGCUGGGGUCUCUCUGCCCUGGAAACAUUCUUCCAUACAGAGAGCCCCUCCUGGAAGAGUGAAAAGUCACCAAAAUUAAAUGGACACAAAGAAAGGAGACCUGUCACUAUUGUACGAUACUUCUUGGGCAAAACCCACGUCAUGAAGAAGCCCCCACUUAGCAAAGAUCUGUCUCUGCAAUUUACCUAAGAGGAGGAAUGCUUUCAUAGCCCUAGUGAAUACGUAGACUAUUGCUGCUGUUUGUCAGAAAUGCCAAGACACACAAGAAAGCUCUUGGUGUCAGAGGGCAGCGCAGAUCUGCCUGUGGUAAUUGAAAACAGCAAUGAGAUUGGGUUGAUUUUAUUUUGGAAAAGGUAAAUCAGUGCUGCAGCACGAUGACAUGGAUAAUUCAUGAAGCUGCUGGUUUGUACGAGACACCCAACAUGUCUUUCAGAAGGAAAUGACACAACAAUUAAUGUGUCAGAUAAUAAUGUGCCACUUGGAGAAAGAUAAUUGUAGCCGGCGUUAGAUAGUUAUUAGGUCAGAACGCACGCUCAUGCUUUCAAAGGCAACAGUCUAUUCAUGCUGACAUCCCACUGUAAGUAAAGUAUUGUGUUCAUAAGCACACAGGCUACAGCCAGGGAUGCUGAGUUCUAUCUGAUUUUUCUCUGCUUGGAAUAAUACUCUCAUGAUUCCCUAAACAACACCCUCAGUCAUGUGAAACACAGGUGAAGGUAUUGAAAGAAAUGGAGAGAUAAAUGAGGGGCUUU